GUUCUUUUGAACCCUAUACAGAUGAUCAAGGAGUUUUGCCAAAUCACUGGAGCGAAUUAGUUAAGUAUUCUCACACUAAAGAAGCUGUUGUCGGAAUAUACAUCGAAAGUGAAUCAGCAGCUACUUGCUGUUUUUCUUGGUCGAGGAAAGGGAAAAGAUAUUCUCGAGCUCUUAACGAAACACUGUUUAUGUUUAUUGGUCCUGGUGGAGGAUAAUGUCCUGGUGAUGUAACAUCAAUCCACGUCUGCUUUGCUACAUCUCUUUUCCUACCAUUCUGUUAUUUUUUGAAAAGUUUGUAUAUAGUCUUCUGUACCCAAGUCUAUAGUUAAUUUCCACGACAAUCUUGAGUAAAUUUUAUCAACAACAAACUGAACUAACUGAAAACUGAACUGUUACGCAUAUUUUUUUUUUUUUGUGAUUUGUGAUUAAUUUUGUUGUUCGUGAAAUUAUA